CUUAUGGAGUUAACUGGCUGAGAGGAAGGCAAGCAAGCGAGGACUGAUGGGCCCUUGGCACUGUGAGAACAGUGGAGGAGGAGGGAGCAGGGUUCAUAAGGAGGAGCACAAACAGAAAGUUCAGUGGCCCCAAUAAAAAUAACACCAGAAUCUUCCAGAUACUUUCUCCAUAAGGCGAAAAGAACAGGUUUCUCUUAUUGCCUGGAUCCAAGAGCAUCUCCUGGGUUCUUCCUGUUAGAAUACUGAAUGUCCAUGGAGAGUUUAACAUAAGGAAGAAGAGGCCUGUCUCCCAGCUGAAACUGGUGCAGCAGAUCAUGCAAAGUAAAACCUCAGCAGCUGUGAUGAAGUAGAGCAGAGGGCCUGGGUGUCUGUCAGCUCCAAGCGGAAGAUUUCCCCAGCUUUCUAGAUUUCUGACUUCAUAUCUGUGGGAUCCACACAAUGGGGAGGUACUGGCCUUGGAAUCCAUGGUUCCCCAGCUAUCAUUUUACUUUAGAAUUACAGUGUUCUCUGUUAGUGUCAAGGGAAUGAACCUGACGAGAAAAGACCAAACAUAGGACUGUUACAGGGAAGAAAAAUAUGAAAAGACCUAAAGAUGCACGUCCUCAUUAUAUGUAAGGAAUCUAUUUCCUAGAAUCCUAUAAAAAGCUCAAGUGAAUUUGCUUCAGUUAAUAAAUGUGAUUUAAUUAUAA
rnacentral:lncRNA from 1 species